rnacentral:rRNA from 1 species
UGCAGUCGACGAUGAACACUUCGGUGGGGAUUAGUGGCGAACGGGUGAGUAACACGUGGGCAAUCUGCCCUGCACUCUGGGACAAGCCCUGGAAACGGGGUCUAAUACCGGAUAUGACCAUCUUGGGCAUCCUUGAUGGUGUAAAGCUCCUGCGGUGCAGGAUGAGCCCCCGGCCUAUCAGCUUGUUGGUGAGGUAACGGCUCACCAAGGCGACGACGGGUAGCCGGCCUGAGAGGGCGACCGGCCACACUGGGACUGAGACACGGCCCACACUCCUACGGGAGGCAGCAGUGGGGAAUAUUGCACAAUGGGCGCAAGCCUGAUGCAGCGACGCCGCGUGAGGGAUGACGGCCUUCGGGUUGUAAACCUCUUUCAGCAGGGAAGAAGCGAAAGUGACGGUACCUGCAGAAGAAGCGCCGGCUAACUACGUGCCAGCAGCCGCGGUAAUACGUAGGGCGCGAGCGUUGUCCGGAAUUAUUGGGCGUAAAGAGCUCGUAGGCGGCUUGUCGCGUCGGUUGUGAAAGCCCGGGGCUUAACCCCGGGUCUGCAGUCGAUACGGGCAGGCU